CACGCCCAGUAUUGGGAUUCUGGACAUAGUUCGGAGGGGAAACGGCGAGGAACAAAAACAAACCGUCUUGGCGGGUAGGGCCAGGCCCCCACCCUGCGGCGGUCACAGCAGCAGUAGAAGGCGAUGAUGGAGUGCAGCUCCAGCUGUCUGCGGAGACUGGCCUGGUGCUUUGUUCCAGCCGCCUCCCUGACCCCAGCACGGGGCCCAGCCAACCUGUGAGGGCCACUCAACACAGAGGGCGUCAACAGUGGAAUAGUGAGCAGGCCCACGUGAGCAGGCCACGUUCACAGGGAGCUAAAGAGAGUCUUGGGAGCCUAUUCGAUUCCCAGGGAUCCCACACCUGCAGCCACACAGAUCUGCUCUCCACAUUUCCUUCAUGUUCUUUAGUUUUAUCCCUUACCUUUGAGUGACUGGACAAGCAAGUGCCCUGCGGAGGCCGAAGACGCGCUUCGGGCCGCGUGGAGUGCCCACCUUAGCCUCCGCUCCAUUAAUCUGACCCGACCUACGCUGCUUACCACUGGGGCCAGGACCCUGCCUUUUGCAGGUCCAGGAAGGAGUGGAGCCACGAGGAGGCGCCCACGCGGAGGUCUCGGAAGAGCAGGGCUGUGUCCCGCCGCACCAGCCCCAUCAUGCCCAGUGCCUUCUGGUCCGAGUCCGAGUGCUCCUCUGUCUCUCCACCUGUGGAGUAUGUGUGGAGGGCUGAGGCCCAGUCUCAACACCUGGAACUUCAGGCCUCUGUGUC